rnacentral:rRNA from 1 species
CAGCCGCCGCGGGAAUACGUAGGGUGCGAGCGUUAAUCGGAAUUACUGGGCGUAAAGCGUGCGCAGGCGGUUGUGUAAGACAGGUGUGAAAUCCCCGGGCUUAACCUGGGAACUGCGCUUGUGACUGCACAGCUAGAGUAUGGCAGAGGGGGGUGGAAUUCCACGUGUAGCAGUGAAAUGCGUAGGGAUGUGGAGGAAUACCGAUGGCGAAGGCAGCCCCCUGGGCCAAUACUGACGCUCAUGCACGAAAGCGUGGGGAGCAAACAGGAUUAGAGACCCCUGUAGUCCCUGUCUCUUAUAC